rnacentral:rRNA from 1 species
GACGAACGCUGGCGGCGUGCUUAACACAUGCAAGUCGAACGGAAAGGCCUUGCUUUUGUUGUGUGCUCGAGUUGCUAACGUGUGAGUAACGUGUGAGUCACCUGCGCUUUACUUUGGGAUAUCUUCAGUAAACUGGGGCUACUACCUCUUAUUCGCUCCUGCUCCAUGGUGGGGUUUGGAAAGUUUCGGCGGUUGGGGUUGGAGUUGCGGGUUAUCAGCUUGCUGGUGGGCUAGUGGCUUACGAAGGCUUUGACGGGUGGCGGGCCUGGGAGGGUGACCGGCGACAUGGGGAAUGAGAUACGGCCAAGACUCCUACGGGAGGAAGCAGUGGGGAAUAGUACACAAAGGGCGGAAGGCUGAGGCAGCAAUGACGCGUGCGGGAUGAUGGCCUUCGGGUGGUAAACCGCUUUCGCCUGUGACGAAGCGUGAGUGACGGUAAUGGGUAAAGAAGCACCGGCUAACUACGUG